rnacentral:rRNA from 1 species
GACAGAGGGUGCAAACGUUGUUCGGAAUUACUGGGCGUAAAGCGCGUGUAGGCGGCUCUGCAAGUCGGAUGUGAAAUCCCAUGGCUCAACCAUGGAAGUGCACUCGAAACUGCAGGGCUAGAGUCCUGGAGAGGAAGGUGGAAUGCUUGGUGUAGAGGUGAAAUUCGUAGAUAUCAAGCGGAACACCGGUGGCGAAGGCGGCCUUCUGGACAGUGACUGACGCUGAGACGCGAAAGCGUGGGGAGCGAACGGG